AGAGUGAACGCUGGCGGCAGGCCUAACACAUGCAAGUCGAACGGCAGCACAGAGGAGCUUGCUCCUUGGGUGGCGAGUGGCGGACGGGUGAGGAAUACGUCGGAAUCUGCCUAUUUGUGGGGGAUAACGUAGGGAAACUUACGCUAAUACCGCAUACGACCUACGGGUGAAAGCGGAGGACCUUCGGGCUUCGCGCAGAUAGAUGAGCCGACGUCGGAUUAGCUAGUUGGCGGGGUAGAGGCCCACCAAGGCGACGAUCCGUAGCUGGUCUGAGAGGAUGAUCAGCCACACUGGAACUGAGACACGGUCCAGACUCCUACGGGAGGCAGCAGUGGGGAAUAUUGGACAAUGGGCGCAAGCCUGAUCCAGCCAUGCCGCGUGUGUGAAGAAGGCCUUGGUUGUAAAGCUACUUUUGUACGGAAGUAAAGUCUUUACGGUAAUACCCGGAAGUU
rnacentral:rRNA from 1 species